rnacentral:SRP_RNA from 2 species
GGCAGGCAUGGUGGCGCAUGCCUGUAAUCCCAGCUACUCGGGAGGCUGAGACAGGAGAAUCGCUUGAACCCGGGAGGUGGAGGUUGUGGUGAGCCGAGAUCGCACCACUGCACUCCAGCCUGGGUGACAGAGUGAGACUCUGUCUCAA